GGGGGGGGGCUCCCCGACCGCCUGCUCCCCAAGUUUGGAGGCGGCAGCACUUUGCGGGAAGUUGGGCGGCACCGCGGGGCUUCCACGGGGACACCUCGGGUUGCUCCGCUUUGCUCCGAGGGGAAGGUUGGCGAGCCCCCAUUCUCCCGGGGAUAUUUGGGGGGAACGAGGGGCUGCACCCCCGGGGCUCGGCCGGUGGGGAGAGGUGUCCCCCCUAAGCGUGUCCCCGCGGUGACAAAGAGAGCGCCGCUCGCUGUCACCCCGCAGGGAGCUGCGCCCUGGAGAGGGAGCAGGCGCCCGGCGAGCGGCUCGCCCGGGGAGCUGCACCCAAUUCCCGCACCGCAUCCUCCCUAGAAUUAAGCCCCGGAGGGAUGUUGCCACUCGCCGCUGCUGAUUUUUCAGUAAAAGGGGCAUUUCUUCAACGCGAGCCGUUGGCCGGUAAAAAUAGCUUCGUGGCAUGCGUUUGCUGAGAAUGCAGUCAAGGUUGGGUGGCGGGUUAUUAUGGUUAGGCUCUUAAGCAACAGUCCCCUCGCUGAACUUUGGUGGUGUCAUACAUGCAGCUGUUGGACGUGGCUUGCAAGCACUGGUUUUAAGGAGCGUGGAACCCUCCCGAAGAGGAUACAGCCAGAUCCAGCUUCUCAGUGUUCCCACAGUGGCUUGAACUACCUGAAAUGUGUGUGCUCCAAGUCUCUGAAGUGGAAUGUCUGCUGGUUUCCUAGUGAGCUUGCCAGAACUCAGGAUGGAGAAAUGUGCCUCAUAAGGAGAUAUUUUUCUUGUAUAAAACAUCAAUGUUCAGUGUGGGUGAAGGUACCUUGCUAUCUUACCAUAAAAUUAGAAAAGCUGAUGAGAUUGAAAAAGACUUCUGCAUUAUUAUUUUCUAGUAUGAAUUCAAGCAAAGCUUAA
rnacentral:lncRNA from 1 species